GACGGAGGCUGCAAGUGUUAUCCGGAAUCACUGGGCGUAAAGCGUCUGUAGGUGGUCAAAUAAGUCAACUGUUAAAUCUUGAGGCUCAACCUCAAAAUCGCAGUCGAAACUAUUAGACUAGAGUAUAGUAGGGGUAAAGGGAAUUUCCAGUGGAGCGGUGAAAUGCGUAGAGAUUGGAAAGAACACCGAUGGCGAAGGCACUUUACUGGGCUAUUACUAACACUCAGAGACGAAAGCUAGGGUAGCAAAUGGG
rnacentral:rRNA from 1 species